UCUCCGUAGGUGAACCUGCGGAGGGAUCAUUACAGAGUUCGUGCCCUCGCGGGUAGAUCUCCCACCCUGUGUUAUUGCUACCUUUGUUGCUUUGGCGGGCCGCCCUCGGCUACCGGCCCCGGCUGGUACGCGCCCGCCAGAGGACCCCAAACCCUGAACGUCAGUGUCGUCUGAGCUCUAUACAAUAGUUUAAACUUUCAACAACGGAUCUCUUGGUUCUG
rnacentral:misc_RNA from 1 species